rnacentral:rRNA from 1 species
CCCCCGGCCGGGAUAGCCCAGGGAAACCUGGAUUAAUACCGGAUGAGACGGGACCCGCGAAGGCGGGACCCGGGAAAGGCGCUGCGGCGCCGCCGGGGGAUGAGUCUGCGUCCCAUUAGCUAGACGGCGGGGUAACGGCCCACCGUGGCGACGAUGGGGUAGCCGGCCUGAGAGGGUGGACGGCCACAUUGGAACUGAGACACGGUCCAGACUCCUACGGGAGGCAGCAGCUAAGGAAUCUUCCGCAAUGGGGCGAAAGCCUGACGGAGCGACGCCGCGUGAACGAAGAAGGCCGUGAGGUUGUAAAGUUCUUUCGGGAGGGGGAACAACCGUGGCAGGGAAUGGCCGCGGGAUGACGUGAAUCCCGGAAUAAGCCCCGGCUAACUACGUGCCAGCAGCUGC